AAAGACACUCUACACCUCGCUGCAUCAUGGCUACAUCUGCCCUCCUGCUUCUGGCAUUCUUUACUGGACUCUGUGCUCCAUGGUCAGAACAUGUGCAAAAGAGUGGACUUGCAACAGACGAAUCUAAAAUGACAGAGGGUUACAUGUCCAUGCUUUGCCCGCCAGUACCUCCCCUAUCGCUCGCCUC